rnacentral:rRNA from 1 species
GGUUAAGCGACUAAGCGUACACGGUGGAUGCCCUGGCAGUCAGAGGCGAUGAAGGACGUGCUAAUCUGCGAUAAGCGUCGGUAAGGUGAUAUGAACCGUUAUAACCGGCGAUUUCCGAAUGGGGAAACCCAGUGUGUUUCGACACACUAUCAUUAACUGAAUCCAUAGGUUAAUGAGGCGAACCGGGGGAACUGAAACAUCUAAGUACCCCGAGGAAAAGAAAUCAACCGAGAUUCCCCCAGUAGCGGCGAGCGAACGGGGAGCAGCCCAGAGUCUGAAUCAGUGUGUGUGUUAGUGGAAGCGUCUGGAAAGGCGCGCGAUACAGGGUGACAGCCCCGUACACAAAAAUGCACAUGCUGUGAGCUCGAUGAGUAGGGCGGGACACGUGGUAUCCUGUCUGAAUAUGGGGGGACCAUCCUCCAAGGCUAAAUACUCCUGACUGACCGAUAGUGAACCAGUACCGUGAGGGAAAGGCGAAAAGAACCCCGGCGAGGGGAGUGAAAAAGAACCUGAAACCGUGUACGUACAAGCAGUGGGAGCCUCUUUAUGGGGUGACUGCGUACCUUUUGUAUAAUGGGUCAGCGACUUAUAUUCUGUAGCAAGGUUAACCGAAUAGGGGAGCCGAAGGGAAACCGAGUCUUAACUGGGCGUUAAGUUGCAGGGUAUAGACCCGAAACCCGGUGAUCUAGCCAUGGGCAGGUUGAAGGUUGGGUAACACUAACUGGAGGACCGAACCGACUAAUGUUGAAAAAUUAGCGGAUGACUUGUGGCUGGGGGUGAAAGGCCAAUCAAACCGGGAGAUAGCUGGUUCUCCCCGAAAGCUAUUUAGGUAGCGCCUCGUGAAUUCAUCUCCGGGGGUAGAGCACUGUUUCGGCAAGGGGGUCAUCCCGACUUACCAACCCGAUGCAAACUGCGAAUACCGGAGAAUGUUAUCACGGGAGACACACGGCGGGUGCUAACGUCCGUCGUGAAGAGGGAAACAACCCAGACCGCCAGCUAAGGUCCCAAAGUCAUGGUUAAGUGGGAAACGAUGUGGGAAGGCCCAGACAGCCAGGAUGUUGGCUUAGAAGCAGCCAUCAUUUAAAGAAAGCGUAAUAGCUCACUGGUCGAGUCGGCCUGCGCGGAAGAUGUAACGGGGCUAAACCAUGCACCGAAGCUGCGGCAGCGACGCUUAUGCGUUGUUGGGUAGGGGAGCGUUCUGUAAGCCUGUGAAGGUGUACUGUGAGGUAUGCUGGAGGUAUCAGAAGUGCGAAUGCUGACAUAAGUAACGAUAAAGCGGGUGAAAAGCCCGCUCGCCGGAAGACCAAGGGUUCCUGUCCAACGUUAAUCGGGGCAGGGUGAGUCGACCCCUAAGGCGAGGCCGAAAGGCGUAGUCGAUGGGAAACAGGUUAAUAUUCCUGUACUUGGUGUUACUGCGAAGGGGGGACGGAGAAGGCUAUGUUGGCCGGGCGACGGUUGUCCCGGUUUAAGCGUGUAGGCUGGUUUUCCAGGCAAAUCCGGAAAAUCAAGGCUGAGGCGUGAUGACGAGGCACUACGGUGCUGAAGCAACAAAUGCCCUGCUUCCAGGAAAAGCCUCUAAGCAUCAGGUAACAUCAAAUCGUACCCCAAACCGACACAGGUGGUCAGGUAGAGAAUACCAAGGCGCUUGAGAGAACUCGGGUGAAGGAACUAGGCAAAAUGGUGCCGUAACUUCGGGAGAAGGCACGCUGAUAUGUAGGUGAAGCGACUUGCUCGUGGAGCUGAAAUCAGUCGAAGAUACCAGCUGGCUGCAACUGUUUAUUAAAAACACAGCACUGUGCAAACACGAAAGUGGACGUAUACGGUGUGACGCCUGCCCGGUGCCGGAAGGUUAAUUGAUGGGGUCAGCGCAAGCGAAGCUCUUGAUCGAAGCCCCGGUAAACGGCGGCCGUAACUAUAACGGUCCUAAGGUAGCGAAAUUCCUUGUCGGGUAAGUUCCGACCUGCACGAAUGGCGUAAUGAUGGCCAGGCUGUCUCCACCCGAGACUCAGUGAAAUUGAACUCGCUGUGAAGAUGCAGUGUACCCGCGGCAAGACGGAAAGACCCCGUGAACCUUUACUAUAGCUUGACACUGAACAUUGAGCCUUGAUGUGUAGGAUAGGUGGGAGGCUUAGAAGUGUGGACGCCAGUCUGCAUGGAGCCGACCUUGAAAUACCACCCUUUAAUGUUUGAUGUUCUAACGUUGACCCGUAAUCCGGGUUGCGGACAGUGUCUGGUGGGUAGUUUGACUGGGGCGGUCUCCUCCUAAAGAGUAACGGAGGAGCACGAAGGUUGGCUAAUCCUGGUCGGACAUCAGGAGGUUAGUGCAAUGGCAUAAGCCAGCUUGACUGCGAGCGUGACGGCGCGAGCAGGUGCGAAAGCAGGUCAUAGUGAUCCGGUGGUUCUGAAUGGAAGGGCCAUCGCUCAACGGAUAAAAGGUACUCCGGGGAUAACAGGCUGAUACCGCCCAAGAGUUCAUAUCGACGGCGGUGUUUGGCACCUCGAUGUCGGCUCAUCACAUCCUGGGGCUGAAGUAGGUCCCAAGGGUAUGGCUGUUCGCCAUUUAAAGUGGUACGCGAGCUGGGUUUAGAACGUCGUGAGACAGUUCGGUCCCUAUCUGCCGUGGGCGCUGGAGAACUGAGGGGGGCUGCUCCUAGUACGAGAGGACCGGAGUGGACGCAUCACUGGUGUUCGGGUUGUCAUGCCAAUGGCACUGCCCGGUAGCUAAAUGCGGAAGAGAUAAGUGCUGAAAGCAUCUAAGCACGAAACUUGCCCCGAGAUGAGUUCUCCCUGACUCCUUGAGAGUCCUGAAGGAACGUUGAAGACGACGACGUUGAUAGGCCGGGUGUGUAAGCGCAGCGAUGCGUUGAGCUAACCGGUACUAAUGAACCGUGAGGCUUAACCUU